UUAUUUUGGCAGAUUAGUGCAUGAGAUUUAGAAUCUUAUUAAGUAGAUUGUUUUACAAAUAAUAC
rnacentral:tRNA from 1 species